AACGAACGCUGGCGGCAGGCUUAACAUAUGCAAGUCGAACGCAUCGCAAGAUGAGUGGCAGACGGGUGGGUAACGCGUGGGAACGUACCCUUUACUACGGAAUAGCUCCGGGAAACUGGAAUUAAUACCGUAUGUGCCCUUCGGGGGAAAGACUUAUCGGUAAAGGAUCGGCCCGCGUUGGAUUAGCUAGUUGGUGGGGUAAAGGCCUACCAAGGCGACGAUCCAUAGCUGGUCUGAGAGGAUGAUCAGCCACAUUGGGACUGAGACACGGCCCAAACUCCUACGGGAGGCAGCAGUGGGGAAUAUUGGACAAUGGGCGCAAGCCUGAUCCAGCCAUGCCGCGUGAGUGAUGAAGGUCUUAGGAUUGUAAAGCUCUUUCACCGGGGAAGAUAAUGACGGUACCCGGAGAAGAAGCCCCGGCUAACUUCGUGCCAGCCGCCGCGGUAACAC
rnacentral:rRNA from 1 species